AAUAGGAAAUUUCUGCUUAGAAAGAGAUUUCCCAAGUACAUGGAUUUAAAAAAAAAUUUUCAAGAAGAAUAUUGACUUUUGGAGUGGUCAGUGGCCUGGUAACAUUUGUCAACUAUGAUAUUUCACAGACCCAACUCGAACGCUGAUGACAAUAAGUCACGAAACCCCUGACUUACCAAGGUCAUGGAGGACAUUUUUGCGGCUGACACUGUUUGGAUGUUAUUUUGGGCAGAGGUAACCCGUGAGCACUUCUGCAGUGUUUCCAAGUUCUGCAGCUGCUUCCUGAUGGGGGAUGGCCCCUGGACUCUAGUUGUCAGAACAUCUUACCCAGGUCUGGAAAGGAGCCACUGUUUACCUUCAAUUCUUACUUCCAGAGAGCUUUACAGAAUCAAAAAUAUCUGAUGACCUUUGUAACACCCUGCCUUAAUCUUUACUUCUAUAUACCAACUCACCCAAGAAACUACAGGAAAUGGCCCCAGAAGUUUAAGAUCCAGUGCCAAGUUCCAGAGAAGAAAAAAGGAGACACCUGCUCUGGAUGACAGACCCUGCUCAGCAGGUGGCCUUCCUGCCUUGCUUCUCCUUUUCCACCUAUAAAAGCCCCUCCCCCCAACAUGGAGCCUCAACCCAGCUCCUCCAUCUUCUGCAAGGCUGACCACCAACUCUCAUCUCCUGAGUACUGGCCUUUGAGUGGUGGGCAGCCUGGAUCUUAACCCAGAGUUAAGGUAUAGAUGUUCACAAUCUUCACGACAUGUUACGUUUUCAGUUUAUAACAGAGAAUGGCCUAGCCAGUAAGUAGCACAACAGGCCAAUGGUGACAAUCAUAGAUGACCAAAUUCCACAUAGCUUUGCGUGCCGCUUUUUACUUGUCUAGCAUGAAAUCAUGCCAUAAUAAAAAUGUUCUUCA